ACAGCAGUCGCCGCGGGAAUACGAAGGGUGCAAGCGUUACUCGGAAUUACUGGGCGUAAAGCGUGCGUAGGUGGUUGUUUAAGUCUGUUGUGAAAGCCCUGGGCUCAACCUGGGAAUUGCAGUGGAUACUGGGCAACUAGAGUGUGGUAGAGGGUAGUGGAAUUCCCGGUGUAGCAGUGAAAUGCGUAGAGAUCGGGAGGAACAUCCAUGGCGAAGGCAGCUACCUGGACCAACACUGACACUGAGGCACGAAAGCGUGGGGAGCAAACAGGAUUAGAUACCCCUGUAGUCCCUGUCUCUUAUAC
rnacentral:rRNA from 1 species